rnacentral:rRNA from 1 species
UACAGAGGGGGCAAGCGUUGUUCGGAAUUACUGGGCGUAAAGGGCGCGUAGGCGGCCCGCUAAGUCGAACGUGAAAUCCCCGAGCUCAACUCGGGAACUGCGUCCGAUACUGGCGGGCUUGAAUCCGGGAGAGGGAUGCGGAAUUCCAGGUGUAGCGGUGAAAUGCGCAGAUAUCAGGAAGAACACCCGUGGCGAAAGCGGCUCUCUGGAACGGUACUGACGCUGAGACGCGAAAGCGUGGGGAGCGAACAGG